rnacentral:tRNA from 1 species
UAGAUUGAAGCCCGCUGGAUUGGGUUUUUAGUUGUUAACUAAAGGUUUAUGGCCUCGACGCCAUCCCCUCUAG